rnacentral:rRNA from 1 species
UACGAAGGGGGGCUAGCGUUGCUCGGAAUGACUGGGCGUAAAGGGCGCGUAGGCGGCGGUCACAGUCAGAUGUGAAAUUCCUGGGCUUAACCUGGGGGGCUGCAUUUGAUACGUGGUUGCUUGAGUGGGGAAGAGGGUCGUGGAAUUCCCAGUGUAGAGGUGAAAUUCGUAGAUAUCAGGAGGAACAUCGAUGGCGAAGGCAGCCCCUUGGACCUGUACUGACGCUCAUGCACGAAAGCGUGGGGAGCAAACAGG